AUGUGACGUAAGCCGAAAGGAGAGGCCCGCGCUGAUGUCGGAGAGAAAUCGGUCUCGUUCGCAGUCGGUUAGCACCUCCAACGGCACCGGAGGGCAGGCCCGCGGCCGGAGAAACUCGGUCGUCUCCGAUUCCACCAUGACGGAGGACGAGGACCUCGGCGAAGGCGGCAUCCCGUACGGGGCCCGGGACGAUGACCCGAACCGCCGGAGGAUGCUGAGGCACCAGUACCGGGAGCUUAUCAACAGUGUUCAGCAGAAUCGGGAGGACAUGAUCAGACCCAACAGUAAUAAAUUAACAGAAGCAUUGGAGGAAGCUAAUAAAUUGUUUUCCAAUGUACGUCAGACCAGCGAGGCAGCCCUGGAUGCUCAGUUUCUUGUACUUGCUACAAAUCUGGGACAAGAGAAAGCUAAUCAGCUGCACACAGACAUGAUGGUAUUUGAUCCAUCCGUCUUUGCAGAGGAACUGUUGACAUUCAUGGGUUUGAGACGGCUGGAAACUGAAGGGAGUGAUGAUGAUGAUGAAUCUGCAGGGUGGCUUCCAAAGGAUGCCUGGACUAGACUAGGAAAUGAAGCUGUAAAGUAUUUUAAAAGAGCUCCAGCCUUUCAUUAUAUGCUGGGAUCUUACAAAAGUGAACCUCCAGUUCCACGACAGAAAAUUGAGAGGCAGAAGAGAGUUCCAACAAAGGAAGAACGCAGAAUAAUGCCAACACAGUUGAAGAAAAUGGACGAAUCUCACCAAGAGGCAACUGAAAAGGAAGUGGAGAGGAUAUUGGGAUUAUUGCAAGAGUACUUCAAAUCUGACCCUGAAACACCAAUCAAUUUCUUUGACUUUGUAAUUGAUCCACAUUCUUAUGCACGUACUGUGGAGAAUAUAUUCCAUGUCUCCUUCAUUGUCAGAGAUGGUUUUGCUGCCAUUGGGCUUGAUCAAGACAAACUACCAAUUAUUGAACCAGUAAAUGAAAGUAUGGAUAAUGACAGGCCACAACAACAAAGACAACAGAUGGUUAUUUCGUUGAGCCAACAAGAUUGGAGGGAAAUAAUUGAUACAUUUGAAAUAGCAGAUGCCAUGAUACCACCAGCCACCCAAGGAGAUUGAUGAAUCUUGAUGUACUUGGAGCCUCCAUUGAUCAGAUGCUUCGUAUUCUGCAAUAAACAUAUUGGCACCUGAGUUCAAAAAGACUUUCCAACAUCUACAAGCAUGAACAAAGUCACCAGAGAGGCACUGAAGCCAGUGGAUACAGAAAUGUUUUAUUCAGCAAAGUGAGACACUCUUGGAGGAAGAGGCCUGUUUGACGCAAUAUUACAUGACAUUUUAUAUGUUAAAGAUCAAAGGA